UACGAAGGGGGCUAGCGUUGUUCGGAAUUACUGGGCGUAAAGCGCACGUAGGCGGAUAUUUAAGUCGGGGGUGAAAUCCCGGGGCUCAACCCCGGAACUGCCUUCGAUACUGGGUAUCUUGAGUUCGGAAGAGGUGAGUGGAAUUGCGAGUGUAGAGGUGAAAUUCGUAGAUAUUCGCAAGAACACCAGUGGCGAAGGCGGCUCACUGGCCCGAUACUGACGCUGAGGCGCGAAAGCGUGGGGAGCAAACAGG
rnacentral:rRNA from 1 species